rnacentral:rRNA from 1 species
ACACGACUACAUUAGAUACCCGGGUAGUCCUAGCCGUAAACGAUACUCGCUAGGUGUCGGCCACGGUGCGACCGUUGUCGGUGCCGUAGGGAAGCCGUGAAGCGAGCCACCUGGGAAGUACGGCCGCAAGGCUGAAACUUAAAGGAAUUGGUGGGGGAGCACAACAACGGGUGGAGCUUGCGGUUUAAUUGGAUUCAACGCCGGAAAUCUUACCGGGACCGACAGCAACAUGAAGGCCAAGCUGAAGACUUUGCCGGAUUAGCUG